rnacentral:tmRNA from 1 species
GGGGGCGCAUUGGCUUCGACGUGGACGAAGAAGCCAAGGUUGCAGGUCGAGGCGCCGCUGGCCUCGUAAAAAGCGGCAACAAUGUAAUUGCAAACAAUAACGAUUACGCUUACUCUUACGCUGCUUAAUUGACGCGAUAGAGUAAACACUGAUCUCCUCGGAGGUCACGUCUAACCGGUAGAUGCCUAAUAUAUCGGUGCGGCGCAAAAUUAUUGGGCUGGCAGUACUUUUUGUCUUACGGGAGUGCUGUGAGAACUUACAUAGGGCUAACUAAACACAACCUGUUCAAGGGUCAAGUGUUUGGUGAUAUUAUACUUGAACUAAACCUGUAGAAGCUUUGUGUGGACCGUUUGCGGACGGGGGUUCAAUUCCCCCCGCCUCCACCA